rnacentral:hammerhead_ribozyme from 1 species
AUCCAGCUGACGAGUCCCAAAUAGGACAAAAACGCAUGUCCUACAU